rnacentral:misc_RNA from 1 species
GAUGAAGAACGCAGCGAAAUGCGAUAAGUAAUGUGAAUUGCAGAAUUCAGUGAAUCAUCGAAUCUUUGAACGCACAUUGCGCCCCUUGGUAUUCCGAGGGGCAUGCCUGUUCGAGCGUCAUUAUAACCCUCAAGCUCAGCUUGGUGUUGGGGCCUGCUGCACUGGCAGCCCUUAAAAUCAGUGGCGGCGCCAUCUGGCUCUAAGCGUAGUAAUUCUUCUCGCUAUGGAGUCCUGGUGGAUGCUUGCCAUCAACCCCCCAUUUUUCUAUGGUUGACCUCGGAUCAGGUAGGGAUACCCGCUGAACUUAAGCAUAUCAAUAAGCGGAGGA